CCUACGGGGGGCUGCAGUGGGGAAUAUUGCACAAUGGGGGAAACCCUGAUGCAGCGACGCCGCGUGAGUGAAGAAGUAAUUCGUUACGUAAAGCUCUAUCAGCAGGGAAGCAAUACUGACCUUACGGUCAGCAGACGGUACCUGAGUAAGAAGCCCCGGCUAACUACGUGCCAGCAGCCGCGGUAAUACGUAGGGGGCAAGCGUUAUCCGGAUUUACUGGGGGUAAAGGGGGCGUAGACGGUGCGCCAAGGCUGGGGUGAAAUGCCGCGGCGUAACUGCGGAACUGCCUUGGAAACUGGCGAACUAGAGUGCGGGAGGGGUAAGCGGAAUUCCUAGUGUAGCGGUGAAAUGCGUAGAUAUUAGGAGGAACACCGGUGGCGAAGGCGGCUUACUGGACCGUAACUGACGUUGAGGCUCGAAAGCGUGGGGAGCAAACAGGAUUAGAUACCCCUGUAGUC
rnacentral:rRNA from 1 species